rnacentral:rRNA from 1 species
CCUACGGGCGGCUGCAGUAGGGAAUCUUCGGCAAUGGACGAAAGUCUGACCGAGCAACGCCGCGUGAGUGAAGAAGGUUUUCGGAUCGUAAAACUCUGUUGGUAGAGAAGAACGUUGGUGAGAGUGUAAAGCUCAUCAAGUGACGGUAACUACCCAGAAAGGUACGGCUAACUACGUGCCCGCAGCCGCGGUAAGACGUAGGUCCCGGUCGUUGUCGGGAUUGAUUGGGCGAAAGGCGAGCGCAGGUGGUUUAUUAAGUCUGGUGUAAAAGGCAGGGGCUUAACCCUUGUUUGCAUUGGAAACUGGUAGACUUGAGUGCAGGAGAGGAGAGUGGAAUUCCAGGUGUAGCGGUGAAAUGCGUAGAUAUAUGGAGGAACACCGGUGGCGAAAGCGGCACUCUGGCGUGUAACUGACACUGAGGCUCGAAAGCGUGGGGAGCAAACAGGAUUAGAUACCCUGGUAGUC